rnacentral:misc_RNA from 1 species
GAGGAAACAAAUACUAAUCUAAGGCUAAUAUUUUUAAAAGGGCAAGCUUUAUAUUGAACAAGCAAGCAAGGCAACACACAAAUAUCAUUCUCAAAAUAUUUGUAGUAAAUCUGAUGUUAGGGUCAUUAUAAUUGUGGUAGAAACUUCCAAUGCAAAAUUGCAAGUCUCCAUCCAAAGCCAUUCUCCAAUAUGCAUAGUUCCCUUUGCAAAAAUUAAUAUAACAA